CCUACGGGUGGCAGCAGUGGGGAAUAUUGCACAAUGGGGGAAACCCUGAUGCAGCGACGCCGCGUGAGCGAAGAAGUAUUUCUGUAUGUAAAGCUCUAUCAGCAGGAACGAGACAAGACGGUACCUGACUAAUAAGCACCGUCUAACUACGUGCCAGCAGCCGCGGUAAUACGUAGGGGGCAAGCGUUAUCCGGAAUCACUGGGUGUAAAGGGGCCGUAACGGGCUGAGCAAGGCUGAAGUGAAAGGAGGGGGCCCAAACCCCGGACUGCUUUGGAAACUGAACGGCUGGAGUGCAGGAGAGGUAAGUGGAAUUCCUAGUGUAGCGGUGAAAUGCGUAGAUAUUAGGAGGAACACCAGUGGCGAAGGCGGCUUACUGGACUGUAACUGACGUUGAGGCUCGAAAGCGUGGGGAGCAAACAGGAUUAGAUACCCGGGUAGUC
rnacentral:rRNA from 1 species